rnacentral:sRNA from 1 species
CAUGUGUAACUGAGGAGAAUGGGUAACCUAAAAAUAGAAACUUGGAGUUGCUUAAAGUAAUUAGCUGUAUUUGCUCGUAUUAGAUAGAAAAACUUGUCUGCAACAUUAGCAAACUGAGGGAUCCACAAAUCUCUUGAGACCAAUUCUUUGGAAAUAUUUUAAGGAACUAUAUUCAUAAUACAAAACCCUCAAAACAACUAAAAUACCCUUUAAUAGGAAUAUGUAUACCAUAGACACCAUAAUGACGCUAUACAUUAAAAAUAAUUACUAAUGAUAAUAUGUGCUAAUGUAUUGUGUUUUGCUGUAGCUGUUGGGAAAGUAUAAUUUAAUAAGUAAAAAAAUGUAGAGUGCAGAGAUGUUUCUGUGUAAAUUCAUUUAUGUAGCUUUUUUUUUUUAAAGCUUCUGCACAUGGCUGGGCUGUAGCUCAGUUGGUACAGUGCUCGCCCAACAGAACAAAGCCUUGGGUUCCACAGUCACUUCAUAAACUGCCGGGUGGCAUAUGUCUGUCAACCCAGAAUUCAGGAAGAUCAGAAGUCAAGGUCACACUUGAACUGUACGUUUCCUGGUGACUGUGCACAGUUCUGGUAGGACGAUUCUGCAUGAGUGCCGUUCCACAUCCCAUAGUUCACAAAGCAAGGGCAAGUGCACCCCACCCCCAGGCUGCCUGGCUCUUCUCUGCUUGGCCUGUAUCUGCUGGACUGAAUGAAUGGCCAGCACGAACACUAGCUGUUUGUCUCUCCCUUGGACGUGGUUUACAGGACUGGAGAAUGCUGAGAAUAGCAGCGAGCUGGUUCGACACGACCUUUGCAAGACAGGGGGCUGAGCCAGAGAGGAUCCUGAAGAUGGAGAAAGAAGGCAGCCCUCUCUCUACAAGCCAUCAACACAAUGUGCUGAGACUUUGAUCUUGGAUUUCCAACAUCCAGAACUGUGAAGAAAUCAACUUCUAAGGGCAUGUGCUGGCUUCUCUCAACUUGACACAAACUACAGUCAUUCAUUUGUGAGGAAGGAAUCUCAAAUUAGGAAAACACCGCCAUCAGGUUGGCUUGUGGACAAGACAGUGGGGCGUGCUCUUGACUGAUGAUUGAUGUGGAAGGGCCCAGCUCACUGUGGAUGAUGCCACCCCUAGCAGGUGGUCCUAGGAGUUAUAAGAAAGCAGGCUGAGCAGAUCAGAAGAAAUACGUAGCAAGCAGUUCUCUCCAUGGCCUCUGCUUCAGUUCCUGCCUCCAGAUUCCUUCCAUGAUUUCCCUAAGUAAUGGAAUUUGACCUGGGAGAUGUAAGUUUAAUGACCACUUUUCUCCUGGGUUUGCUUUUGGUCAUGGUGUUUUGUCACAGCAGUAGAAAUCGUAAGACAGAGUGCCUGUCUUGGAGAUUGGGUUGGAGCAGGAGGCUCUUCACCAGGCAAAGCUAGGCAAGAAGGCUACAGAGGUCUUUCAUAGUCACCUCCUGUGACCCUGGCUUCUCCUGGUCUCACACUGAAGCCUCUCUAGAAUAGUCUGGCUGGUGGGGGACUCAACUUACUCCUGCCCUAUAUGGCUGCCACCACUUCUAGAUUCCUGAUUAAAAACCCACAGGGAAGAAAUCCACUGAGCAGAAAUACUCUGUAAGAUAGAAAGCCUGGGGCUGGAGAGAUGGCUCAGUGGUUAGGAGCACUGACUGCUCUUCCAGAGGCCCUGAUUUCAA